AUUGAUUCAAUAAGCACGAUAUGCAAAAUGAAAAAGAAAUUCACUGCACUGUUUUUGUUGUCGGCUCUCGCGUUAGCGGGAUGCGGGCAAACUGGGCCACUGUAUAUGCCUGAUGAUGCAAAACAAAGUGAGCAAAGUCAGUAAAUCACG
rnacentral:sRNA from 1 species